CGGUAAUUCCAGCUCCAAUAGCGUAUAUUAAAGUUGUUGUGGUUAAAAAGCUCGUAGUUGGAUCUCAGCUCACGUUAUUUGGUCCACUUGUUGGUGGUUACUAUUUAACUGAGUGUCUUUAUCAUUUCKUCUUGCAGUAUUCUUGAUUGAAUGUKGCAAGCGUUUGGUMCGUUUMCUUUGAAAAAAUUAGAGUSCUCAAASCAGSCAAMCGCCUGAAUAAUGUUGCAUGGAAUAAUGGAAUAGGACCUUGGUUCUGUUCUGUUGGUCUUUGGAA
rnacentral:rRNA from 1 species